GAUGAACGCUGGCGGCGUGCCUAACACAUGCAAGUCGAGCGGAAGGGCGCGGCUUUUGCUUGGUUCUCGAUUGGGGAGGGGGGGUGAAACACGCGAGUAUCCCGCCCCUGACAGUGUGAUAUCAUUAGGAGACUGGGGCUAUUACCGGGUAGGAGAUUCUGAACCGUGGGGGUGAUUGGAAAGAGACGGCGGUUGUGGCUCGACUAGCGGCUUAUCAGCUUGUUGGUCGGGUAGUUGCGUUCGAGGGGUUUGACGGGUAGCCCGCCUGAGAGGGUGGACGGCCACCUUGGGACUAAGGUACGGACCAGUCGCCUACGGGAGGCAGCAGUGGGGAACAUUGCACAAUGGGCGGAAGCCUGAUGCAGCAACGCCGCGUGCGGGAUGCCGGCCUUCGGGUUAUAAACCGCUUUCGCCUGUGACGUAGCGUGAGUGACGGUAAUGGGUAAAGAAGCACCGGCUAACUACGUG
rnacentral:rRNA from 1 species